CGGGGUGAGUAAUGUAUGGGGAUCUGCCUGAUGGCGGGGGAUAACUACUGGAAACGGUAGCUAAUACCGCAUAACGUCGCAAGACCAAAGCGGGGGACCUCCGGGCCUCGCGCCAUCAGAUGAACCCAUAUGGGAUUAGCUUGUAGGUAAGGUAACGGCUUACCUAGGCGACGAUCCCUAGCUGGUCUGAGAGGAUGAUCAGCCACACUGGGACUGAGACACGGCCCAG
rnacentral:rRNA from 1 species